ensembl:lncRNA
UAGGGCCACACCUGUGGCAUAUGAAAGUUCCCAGGCUAGGGUUUGAAUCAGAGCUGCAGCUGCCAGCCCACACCACAGCCACAGCAACAGCGAUGCCAGAUCCAAGGAGCAUCUGCGACCACGGCUCAUGGCAACACCGGAUCCCUAACCCACUGAGCAAGGCCUGGGAUCGAACCUGCAUCCUCAUUGAUAUUAGUUAGGCUCCUUACUUGCUGAGCCGCAACAGGAAUUCCCUAUUGUUAAUUUUUUAAGUAACCUCUAUACUGUUUUCCAUAGUGGCUACACCAAUUUACAUGACCUCCCCCAGUGCAGAAGGGUUCUCUUUUCUCCACAUCCUCUCCAGAAUUUAUUUGUAGACUUUUUGAUGACGGCCAUUCUGGCUGGAGUGAGGUGAUACCUCACUGCAGUUUUGAUGUACAUUUCUCCAAUAACUGCAAUGCUGAGCAUCUUUUUUAAUUUUUAUUUUAUAUUGGAGUAUAGUUGAUUUACAGUGUUGUGUUUGUUAGUUUCAAAUGUACAGCAAAGUGAUUCAUUUAAACAUAUACAUAUAUCCAAUCUUUUUCAGAUUCUUUUCCCAUAUAGGUUAUCACAGAAUAUUGAGCAGAGUUUCCUAUGCUAUGCAGUAGGGUCCUUGUUGAUUAUUUUACAUAUAGCAGUAUGUAUAUGUUAAUCUCAAACUCCUAAUUUAUCCCUCCCCCUUACCUUUCCCCUUCGGUAACCAUAAGUUUGUUGUCUAUGUGAGUCUGUUUCUGUUUUGUAAAUAAGUUCCUUUCUGUCAUUUUUUUAGAUUCCACAUAUAAAUGAUAUCAUAUAUUUGCCUUUCUCUGUCUGAUUUACUUCACGUAUGAGAAUGUCCAGGUCCAUCCAGGUUGCUACAAAUGGCAUUGUUUCAUUCUUUUUUAUGGCUCUGUAAUAUCUUCUCAUGUGCCUGUUGGCCAUCUGGAUGUCUUCUUUGCUUUGUCUGUUUGUGUUUUUUAUUUUUAUUUUGUAUUUUUUUUUGUCUUUUUGCCAUUUUCUCGGACCCCUCCCGAGGCAUAUGGAGGUUCCCAGGCUAGGGGUCGAAUCGGAGCUUUUUUUUUUUAACUUUCUCUUUCUGAUAUUUCAUUGUUAGGGUAAAGAAAUGCACAGAUUUCUGUAUAUUAAUCUUGUAUCCUGCUACCUUACUGAAUUCAUUUAUUAGUUCUAAUAGUUUUUGUGUGGAGUCUUUAUUGAGUUGUCCAUACAGAGUAUCAUGUUAUCUACAUAUAAUAACAAUUUUACCUCUUCCUUUCCAAUUUGGAUAAAUUUUCUUUCUUUCUCUUGCCUGUGGCUGGGUUAAGCAGUCUAUAUACUUCUAUGCUGUGCAAAAAUUCUACAAUAAAAACAUAUUCAUAAGUUAUUUUUGUAAUUAAAAAAAUACAUGGACCAUAACAUCUAUCAGAAUAUCUAAAAUAAAAAGACUGCACCAUUAAGUGUUGAGGAGGAUGUGGAGCAAUUGAAUUUCUCAUACUUUGUUGGUGGGAGUGUAAAUCAGGUACAAUCACUUUGGGAAACAGGAGUUUCCAAUAACAUUAAAUAUAUUCGUAUCCUAUGACCCAGUAUUUCCACUCCUAGAUAAUUAUCCAGGAGAAAUAAGUGUUUAUGUUCACAAAACAAGUUACGGAAGAACACUUAGAGCAGCUAUAUUUAUAAUAACUCCCACUGAACGACCCAAUGUUUAUCAGAAGAAUGGAUAGUUCUCUGGUGGUCUAGUGGUUGGGACAGGGCAUCUUCACCACCAGGUUCAGUCCCUGGUCUGGAAACUGAGAUUCCACAACAAGCUGCUGCACCCCACAGCUAAUAAAUAAAUAAAUACGAAUUUAACAUGUAAAAAAAAGAAGAAUGGAUAAACACACUGCAGAAUAGUCACACAAUGGAAUACUACUCAGCAAAAAGAUAAGAUAAAUCUGAUAGAUGAAACAAUAUGGAUAAAUCUCAAAAACAUUAUGUUGAGGACAAACACAAAAGAGAUCAUCCUGAUUUAUGAAGUUCGAGACCUGGAAAGGAAACUUUCUCAGGAGAUGGAAAUGUCUGUGUUUUGACACAGGUUGUAGUCAUACAGAUAUACAUAGAUUAAAGUCAUCCAGUUGUAACACCUAAAAUUACUGCACUUUAUUUAUGUAAAUUAUACAUUAAUAAAAUCCUGGGAAGGAAGGAAGAAAGGAAAGGAGGGAGGGAUCAAUGGAUGAAGAGGCUCACAUAAAGAAUUAUCAAAUGGGAAAAUUUACUUUAAAGGGAGAGUGACUUUAAGAACAGUUAUUACAGAGCAGUUAAGAAACAUUUUCUGUAGCUAAGUAUCACCCUACACAUCUCAUAUUUGAUUUAUCAUAUAAGUACCUUAAUUAAUUCCAACUUAUCUACAAUAUUGGUUUAAGUAUGUAUAAAUAUGUGCCACUGGAUACAUUUUCAUAAAGCUCCUAUUAUGUGAAUAAAAAUUUUAUUUCCCUAUAACAUACUAAUAUCAGAAUGUCAACAGUAUUAGGAGACUCUAGAUGAGAAUUUAAGUAAUUCAUAAAUGAUUUUAUCAAAGCCAUAAACCUUCCGGAAAGCUUGCUCUCUGGAUGCUAAGAUGACUCUGUUUCUGAGCUCACAUCUGGCCCAUCUUCCAUGUAAAAGCUGGCGAGUAAAAUUAAACAGUGGAACUCAAAGACUCCAAACCUGAAAAGCCAUCUGUUAUAAUCACCUAACCUAUAAUGCAGCACUGACAAACCGGAAAAGCAAGCAAUGAACUUGGAAACACAGGGGAAAUAAAUAUGAAUAAAUGUAGCAGAAAUUAUAGGAUUUCUGUACGGUGUAAUGGUUUAUAAUGUGAAAAAGUUAGAUCGAUGAUAGUUAUGUCAAUAUGUUAAGAUUCUCAGAUGACGGUAAAACUUGAAGCUUAUCUUAUUUCUUCUGUAUUUAAAAUGAUUAAGAAAUGUUUAAGUAUUACACUUAUGUAAUGAGGUAAAAUGUUAUUACCUUAAUAGCUGGCAUUAGAAUUUCUCUUAGGAGGAGAAUCGCCAUUGUCUGGAAAAGUAACUUGUUUCUCUGUGUGUGGGUGUUAGUGGGAACCUAAAUCACUAAAGAGAGAGUUAAACUGACUUUCCAUGUAGCAAAGGAAAAAAAAUUUUUUUUUGUUUUGCUCCAGAUAGGAUAAAGGGGAAAAGUGCCAAUGAGAAAGCAUAAGGUUGGGAACUAUAUCAGGUGAAAGGCCAGAAGACACUCUGUGAAGACUGGACUGGCAAAAGGGAGCUUAGGCGUAGGAAUGCCUAAUAUUCAAUUUGAAAUUGUUUGUACUGAUACAGGGGAAACCCCUACUCCUUCUCCCUGAAUCUCCAGUGAGGUCUUCUACAAUCAUGGGGGCUUCAUAUGGAUAGGCUUUUGUGGAAAUUGAAGACAAGGAUCUGUAAAGGCCAUGUUUUCUCAACCUUGGAACCACUGACAUUUUGGGCUAGACAAUUCUUUGUUGUGGGGGCUGUGCCAUGCAUUGUAGGAAGCUGAGCAGCAUACCUGGCCUCUACCCAUUAGAUGCCGAUAGCAUCCUCCCCAGUUAUGACAAUAAAGAAACGUCUCCAAGUGUUGCCAAAUGUCACCUGAGGGACAAAAUCACCCCAUUCAGAAACCGCUAGUUUUCGCCUAUGGAGAGCACACAUGGAGGCAGGAGAUCCUGGAAGGAAAAGUAAACCUGGGAAUGCACGCCCCUUGAGAAUUACCUAGACCUUGAGUUGUUUAGGCUUCCAAAUGUGGGGAGUAGAUCUUAGAGUUCAAAAGGCCUGAGCAGCCCACCUAACAUCUAGGAUAUAAAACUAAAAUAUUUCUACCAAUUAAAAAAAGUUUUUUCUAUUUGUUAAAACAGAAAGGGAGGGGGUAAAAGAUUAAAUCUUUCAAUUUUUUAGCUGACAAGCAAUGCAGAACUACUAUGUUACACAAACACACACAUAUACAGCAUUCUGUAACAAGGUAAGGAGAUAAGGGACAUAACAUCUUUUUUUUUUUUGAGGGGGGGAUGCUAACUCCUCUCUCCUUCCUCCAUAAGGCUUCUCAUAGAAAUUAUCACUGGACUCCGAUCCAGGGAAGGAAGGAAAUGGAAAAGAUCCUGCAAGAACUCCUACAAACCUUGCCUAAUUUGGAGUUUCAAGAAUGAAUUAUCAACCCAAGCAAAUGGUCAUGCCUAGGAGUUUUUCUGACCAGAGGCAGUUGCAAGAAGGGAGAGCAAUAGAACUUCCUUAAAGAAAAAAAAUUAAUUUUAUUUAUAAAACAUAUGGUGUGUAGAUACCUUUGAGGUAUUAUCCUAAACUCUUUUCAAAUAUUCAUUCUUUUAUUCCUCAUAUAAACUCUGUGAUAUAGGUAUUAUUAUUAUUCCCCUUUUACAGCUGAGAAAACUAAGACCCAAAGUCAAACAGCUAGUAAGAAAGCAGUGAAGUUAGGAUUUGAAUCUAGGCAAACUGAACACAAAAAUAUACAUGACCUAUGAGAAAACACUAAUGUUCAAAAAGAAAAAAACAUCUUGAAGGACUAGAGAAAAUGGCUCCCUUUGAUGUUGACUUACUAUGAAAGAGCAAAUGUUUAGAAAACUUCUAAUCAUAUUUUCAACAACAUCCAAAAAGUCACUAUGCCUAUAAGCCAGAUUUAUAGAUGUAAUGAAAAUAAAACAAUGAGUGAUAAGGAAAAAAUACAUGGCAAUUUUUUAAGAUAAAUAAAUGCUGAAUUUAAAACCGUAAUGAAGUCAGUGACAGAUGACACAAUAAAAGAGAUGAAACAGAUCAGGGGGCCAGUAUAUUUGUAACACAAACCCUAGUGUGAUAGAAUAAAACAGAUGGAGUAGAAGCAAUGACAAUAGAAAAACCUUCCCAAGGCCUGAAUCUAUAGAUUAAAAGGGUUCACUACAUAUCAGGCAAAAUUAUUAAAAAGUCGAAAACCUUGAAAUUAUCUAGUAACAUUUUUGAGAACCGAGAAAACUAUCCCACAAACAUCCAGGCAGGCAGCAGGAGGAAUGGGUUAUAAAAGAAAUAUAUCAGGCUGGCAUCAGACUUCUCCUCCAUAAAACUGAAGACCAGACGAUAAGGGUAGACCUUCUAGAGGCUGAAUUGAGAAAAAGAGGAAGGAAGAGAAGUAUGAGCCUAGAAUCUCAAGCCCACAGCUGAGUUUAUAUGAAACAAGACAGACACAUAUGCAAACCUGGAGGGUCUCAGUUAGUGCAGUAUCAAAAUACCCUUCCUAAGAAAUUCACUUAGCAUUAUAUUCUGGAUCAUUAUCUGCUAGAGCUUUAUGCAUCAUCGAAUACAAGAGUCACUUUGGCUACUGAGCAGCUGAUAUGUAGCAAGUGCAAUUGAGGAACUGAUAUUUUUAGUUUUACUUAUGUUUAGUUAAUUUAGAUUUAAUUUAGAUUUAAAUAGCCACCUGUGGCCAGUGGCUACUGUUCUAGCAAAGUCUAAAUAUCUAAGAGAUGAAGAGUUCAAAAUGAAAAGGCCAUGGUACCAAAAAGUAAGCAAUGAACAAAUUAAACAGGGAAAAAAUAUUAUUGUAGCCAUGAUUUUAAAUUAUUAAGUAAAUGCCAAACAACUUUCUUGUAAUAUAAUAUACAUAAUUAAAACACUGAUAAUUCUAUGAGUCUAAAAUCUCAGAUUAUAUCUGCAAUUUCACAUUUCACACUGGAGGAAAGAGCCAGAAGUUACUGUUUCAUUCUUAGUAUUGCUAAUCAAAGGGACAUGUUUCUUUUUUGUUUUUAGUCAUAAGGGUAAAACUAUCAGUGGAACAAAACCAGGAUAUAUAACUCCAAAAUCACUCAAAGGAAAAAAAAAAAUCACGUUAAGAAAAUGCUCAAGACACCAUAGCAAGUGAAAAACUUCAAGUGGAAAAAUCAGUAUACAAAACUAUCAGUGGCAUCUUUACAGGGCCAGGACUCAGGUUUGAUUCCCAGUCCGGCACAGUCAGUUAAGGAUCCAGCAUUGCCACAGCUGCAGCAUAGGUUGCUGUUGUGGCUUGGAUCUGAUCCCUAGACUGGGAACUCCAUAUGCCACAAGGCGGCCAAAGAGUAAAAAACAAAAACAAAAAACUAGACACACAGAGCAGGAUCAAGAUGGCAAAGGAAUAAGACGUGGUACUCAGCUUCUCCCACAAACAUAAAAAAAAAAAAAAAUCUGCAUGUAGAAUUAUUCAUACAGAACAUCUCCUGAACACUGGCAGAAGACCUUAAACCUCCAAAAAGGGCCAAAAAUCCUCCAUAUAACUGGGUAGAACAAAAGGAAAAAAAGAGAGAGAGGGUGCUGUGAAAGAGGAAAGGAACCCAAGGAAGCCACCUAACUGAUGGGGAGAUUAGCCAAGAUAGAGGGACCUCGAAGCCUCAGAGAAAAGUGCAGUAGUUGGACUGAGGAGGGCAAAGCAGAGAGAGAGCCGCACAGAGCAUUGGUACUACUGCCCCUUGACAUCAUAGCCUGAGACAGUUGGGGGCUGGGCUCUGAGACCCAGGCUCUGGACGUCAGUUCUGGGGAGAGGACUAUGGUUGGCUGUGGAGAUAGCCUGAGGGCCUAGGGAGCAGUGCACCAAGGGCUAAGGAGUGGAGCACCACAGCUGAGGGAACCCAGGAGGAGGUCUGGGCCCACAGGAGAAGCAAGGCCCCAUUGUUGGGGAGGGCAAGAGGAGGAGGGCUAGACCACCAUAGGAAUAUCUUUCUCUGCACAUGUGUGGACUCUUGGAAGGUGGGGCACCUCUGGUGGAGGCUACAGGUGAAAGGCCCCUCUUAUGUGGACUACAGGUGGCUGGGCACCUACUGUGCAGGCUAAGCGGGAUGGGAUGCCUUUUGCAUGGUGUAUAGGUGGUGGAGGCAGUCUCCAGAGGUAGGCCACCACUAGGGGUCCAUGAACAGGCACCACCUGUGGCCCCACAGAGGAGGGCACUGCAACUGAGCACCACCCAUUGUUGCUCUCACUCCCCUGGGAACGCAAACACACAUACCCUGCUGCUGCCUCUGCCAAGUACUACGGGUGCCGCCUAAACAUACCUGAGGGUCCCUGCCAAAUCCCAGGAUCCUGCAACUAGGAGCAGCUUGUGCCAUCUUUCCAUGGGUCCUUGCCAUGGUCAAGAGCCCAUCAAUCAGGCACUGGCUACUGGCCCUGCCCAUUACCUCCAUCUCCCUCGAAGCAUGCAAAGCACCCUAUCAAGGGAAUAAGAGUCUGCACACACUGAGGAAAGAGACAGCAAGCAUCCAAACCAAAAGCAGCCCUUACACCGAAAAUAAAUAGUAGGCCCUCACAAAAUACCCAGGGGCACUCUUGUACAUAAACAGCCCUUCAAGACUACAGUUGUUGUUUUCCUUAAACUCACAGAAUAAGAAAAAUAUAAGCAAAAUGAAGAAGCUCAGGAACCAUUCCCAGUUAAAAGAACAGGAAAAUUCCCUUGAAGGAGCAAACAAUGAAACAGACUUCUGCAGUCUAACAGACACCGAAUUCAAAAAGGAGACAGUGAAAAUACUAAAGGAAUUAAGAAUGAAUAUGAAGGAAUUAUGAGCAGAAAUGAAUAGUAAUGCAGAUUACUUUAGAGAGGAACUAGAAAAUAUAAGGUGGAGUCAAGAAAAAUUAGAAAAUUCGUUUGCAGAGACACAAGCUGAGUUAAAGCACUGAAGAGCCGAAUGAAUAAUGCAAAGGAGUGAAUUAGUGACUUAGAAGAUAGAAUAAUGGAAAUCACACAAUGAGGACAGUAGACAGAAAACCAAAUGAAAAAAACAUGAAAGCAAUAUGAGACCUAUGGGAUAAUAUAAAGCAGGCCAAUCUAUGCAUAAUAGGGAUUCCAGAAGGAGAAGAAAAAGGAAAGGGGAUUGAAAAUAUAUUUGAAGAAAUUAUGGCUGAAAACUUUUCAAAUCUAAGGGAAACAGCUAUCAGAGUUCUCAUCAUGGCUCAGUGGUUAACGAAUCCAGCUGGGAACCAUGAGGUUGCGGGUUCAAUCCCUGGCCUUUCUCAGUGGGUUAAGGGUCCAGCGUUGCGGUGAGCUGUGGUGUAGGUUGCAAACUCGGCUUGGAUCCCACAUUGCUGUGGCUCUGGUGUAGGCCAGCAGCUGUAGCUCC